rnacentral:misc_RNA from 1 species
AAAUGCGAUAAGUAAUGUGAAUUGCACAAUUCAGUGAAUCAUCGAAUCUUUGAACGCACAUUGCGCCCCCUGGUAUUCCGGGGGGCAUGCCUGUUCGAGCGUCAUUUCACCACUCAAGCCUCGCUUGGUAUUGGGCGACGCGGUCCGCCGCGCGCCUCAAAUCGACCGGCUGGGUCUUUCGUCCCCUCAGCGUUGUGGAAACUAUUCGCUAAAGGGUGCCGCGGGAGGCCACGCCGUAAAACAACCCCAUUUCUAAGGUUGACCUCGGAUCAGGUAGGGAUACCCGCUGAACUUAAGC